CUGAGGUUUAGAUUCACAGUUAUAGAAUAAUCCUACAUGGGGAAGGACAAAUCAACAACUGCAGAAUCAAUGGACAGAAUGAGCAUUCAAACCAAUGAUCAAUUAAGGCUCUACAGUUGAAUAACUGGUAAUAGGAAGUAAGAACAGAAAAGCCAAAAGAGAUUCAGAAAUCUGAAGAUUUAACAAAUCCUAGUUGAAAGAGGUUUCUAGAAUU